rnacentral:rRNA from 1 species
UGGGGAAUAUUGCACAAUGGGCGAAAGCCUGAUGCAGCGACGCCGCGUGAGGGAUGACGGCCUUCGGGUUGUAAACCUCUUUCAGUAGGGAACAAGGCUACACGUUGUGUGGUUGAGGGUACCUGCAGAAGAAGCGCCGGCUAACUACGUGCCAGCAGCCGCGGUAAUACGUAGGGCGCAAGCGUUAUCCGGAAUUAUUGGGCGUAAAGAGCUCGUAGGCGGUUUGUCGCGUCUGCCGUGAAAGUCCGGGGCUCAACCCCGGAUCUGCGGUGGGUACGGGCAGACUAGAGUGAUGUAGGGGAGACUGGAAUUCCUGGUGUAGCGGUGAAAUGCGCAGAUAUCAGGAGGAACACCGAUGGCGAAGGCAGGUCUCUGGGCAUUAACUGACGCUGAGGAGCGAAAGCAUGGGGAGCGAACA